rnacentral:rRNA from 1 species
AACGAUGACUUCUGUGCUUGCACAGAAUGAUUAGUGGCGAACGGGUGAGUAACACGUGAGUAACCUGCCCUUGACUUCGGGAUAAGCCUGGGAAACCGGGUCUAAUACCGGAUACGACCUCCUGGCGCAUGCCAUGGGGGUGGAAAGCUUUAUGCGGUUUUGGAUGGACUCGCGGCCUAUCAGCUUGUUGGCGGGGUAAUGGCCCACCAAGGCGACGACGGGUAGCCGGCCUGAGAGGGUGACCGGCCACACUGGGACUGAGACACGGCCCAGACUCCUACGGGAGGCAGCAGUGGGGAAUAUUGCACAAUGGGCGAAAGCCUGAUGCAGCGACGCCGCGUGAGGGACGAAUGCCUUCGGGUUGUAAACCUCUUUCAGCAGGGAAGAAGCGAAAGUGACGGUACCUGCAGAAGAAGCGCCGGCUAACUACG